rnacentral:rRNA from 1 species
UACGUAGGGUGCAAGCGUUAAUCGGAAUUACUGGGCGUAAAGCGCGUGUAGGCGGCCCUGCAAGUCGGAUGUGAAAUCCCACGGCUCAACCAUGGAAGUGCAUUCGAAACUGCAGAGCUAGAGUCCUGGAGAGGAAGGUGGAAUGCUUGGUGUAGAGGUGAAAUUCGUAGAUAUCAAGCGGAACACCGGUGGCGAAGGCGGCCUUCUGGACAGUGACUGACGCUGAGACGCGAAAGCGUGGGGAGCAAACAGG